GAUGAACGCUGGCGGCGUGCUUAACACAUGCAAGUCGAACGAAGCACUUUAUUUGAUUUCCUUCGGGACUGAUUAUUUUGUGACUGAGUGGCGGACGGGUGAGUAACGCGUGGGUAACCUGCCUUGCACAGGGGGAUAACAGUUGGAAACGGCUGCUAAUACCGCAUAAGCGCACGGCAUCGCAUGAUGCAGUGUGAAAAACUCCGGUGGUAUAAGAUGGACCCGCGUUGGAUUAGCUAGUUGGUGAGGUAACGGCCCACCAAGGCGACGAUCCAUAGCCGACCUGAGAGGGUGACCGGCCACAUUGGGACUGAGACACGGCCCAAACUCCUACGGGAGGCAGCAGUGGGGAAUAUUGCACAAUGGGCGAAAGCCUGAUGCAGCGACGCCGCGUGAGCGAAGAAGUAUUUCGGUAUGUAAAGCUCUAUCAGCAGGGAAGAUAAUGACGGUACCUGACUAAGAAGCACCGGCUAAAUACGUG
rnacentral:rRNA from 1 species